rnacentral:rRNA from 1 species
AACGAACGCUGGCGGCAGGCUUAACACAUGCAAGUCGAGCGCCCCGCAAGGGGAGCGGCAGACGGGUGAGUAGCGCGUGGGAAUCUACCCAUCUCUACGGAAUAACGCAUGGAAACGUGUGCUAAUACCGUAUACGUCCUUCGGGAGAAAGAUUUAUCGGAGAUGGAUGAGCCCGCGUUGGAUUAGCUAGUUGGUGGGGUAAAGGCCUACCAAGGCGACGAUCCAUAGCUGGUCUGAGAGGAUGAUCAGCCACACUGGGACUGAGACACGGCCCAGACUCCUACGGGAGGCAGCAGUGGGGAAUAUUGGACAAUGGGCGCAAGCCUGAUCCAGCCAUGCCGCGUGAGUGAUGAAGGCCCCAGGGUUGUAAAGCUCUUUCACCGGUGAAGAUAAUGACGGUAACUGGAGAAGAAGCCCCGGCUAACUUCGUGCCAGCCGCCGCAGUAAAAC